GCGCUGGCGGCGUGCCUAAUACAUGCAAGUCGAGCCGUUGAUUCAAAAGCUUGCUUUUGAAUCGUUAGCGGCGGACGGGUGAGUAACACGUGGGCAACCUGCCCUGUAGACGGCGAUAACACCGAGAAAUCGGUGCUAAUACCGGAUAACACGGAAGACCGCAUGGUUUUUCGUUGAAAGGCGGCGCAAGCUGUCGCUACAGGAUGGGCCCGCGGCGCAUUAGCUAGUUGGUGAGGUAACGGCUCACCAAGGCGACGAUGCGUAGCCGACCUGAGAGGGUGAUCGGCCACACUGGGACUGAGACACGGCCCAGACUCCUACGGGAGGCAGCAGUAGGGAAUCUUCCGCAAUGGACGAAAGUCUGACGGAGCAACGCCGCGUGAGCGAAGAAGGCCUUCGGGUCGUAAAGCUCUGUUGUUAGGGAAGAACAAGUACCGCAGUCACUGGCGGUACCUUGACGGUACCUAACGAGAAAGCCACGGCUAACUACGUGCCAGCAGCCGCGGUAAUACGUAGGUGGCAAGCGUUGUCCGGAAUUAUUGGGCGUAAAGCGCGCGCAGGCGGUUCCUUAAGUCUGAUGUGAAAGCCCACGGCUCAACCGUGGAGGGUCAUUGGAAACUGGGGGACUUGAGUGCAGAAGAGGAGAGCGGAAUUCCACGUGUAGCGGUGAAAUGCGUAGAGAUGUGGAGGAACACCAGUGGCGAAGGCGGCUCUCUGGUCUGUAACUGACGCUGAGGCGCGAAAGCGUGGGGAGCAAACAGGAUUAGAUACCCUG
rnacentral:rRNA from 1 species